AAGCUAUCCAUUUACAGUAGGCCUAUCAUCAAAACAAUAGGCUUAUACGUAUUGUAUGCUAAUGAUGCAAGGAAAAGUAUAUGACCUGGGUAAAGAAAAUCCCCCACGUCUCCUUCCGCAGUGCCGCCAUUACUGUGAACUCUCUUGGCUCAGAAAUCGACGCGGAAAUGGUUCCAAUUCGUGACCUGCUUACAGUCGAACGAGCCAAUCAUUGUUCAACAAGUUCUUCAACACAACGCAAGCACAAAUCGACACUACAGUACAUUUCCGAAGGCCAUUUAGUUUUAAAAGAUAUUUCACUAUUCGACACGAUCAAUACGAACGUCACAAACCAUCGAUAACCAUGAACGUUCUACCAAGAGCUA